rnacentral:rRNA from 1 species
AUUGAACGCUGGCGGCAGGCCUAACACAUGCAAGUCGAACGAGUGGCGGACGGGUGAGUAAUGUAUGGGAAACUGCCUGAUGGAGGGGGAUAACUACUGGAAACGGUAGCUAAUACCGCAUACCAUCGGAUUUGCCACUAUGGGAUUAGCUAGUUGGUGGGGUAAAGGCUCACCUAGGCGACGAUCCCUAGCUGGUCUGAGAGGAUGACCAGCCACACUGGAACUGAGACACGGGCCAGACUCCUACGGGAGGCAGCAGUGGGGAAUAUUGCACAAUGGGCGCAAGCCUGAUAAAGCCAUGCCGCGUGUAUGAAGAAGGCCUUCGGGUUGUAAAGUACUUUCAGCGGGGAGGCGUUACCCGCAGAAUAAGCACCGGCUAACUCCGUGCCAGCAGCCGCGGUAAUAC